GAGGAGCGUUGGGGUUGGAUUUGGGGUCGGAUUGGGAUUUGGGGUGGGAUUUGGGGUUUGGGGUUGGAUUUGGGGUCGGAUUGGUAUUUGGGGUCAGGUUUGGGAUCAGAUUGGGAUUUGGGGUUUGGGGUCGGAUUUGGGGUCGGAUUGGGAUUUGGGGUGGGAUUUGGGGUUUGGGGUUGGAUUUGCGGUCGGAUUGGGAUUUGGGGUUGGAUUUGGGGUCGGGUUGGGGUUUGGGGUGGGAUUUGGGGUUUGGGGUCGGAUUUAGGAUGGCAUCCCCUCCCUGCAGCCCCCCCACCUCAGAGCGGAGCGGCCCCACAGGCGGAUCCCGCGUCCGGAGGGAAACCAAUUUCGGGGUCGGCGUCGUCGUGACCCACGAGGUCGUCGUCACCACCAGCACCGACGGCCCCAAUGUCACCGCCGAGCUUUUUGGGGUCACCGAAGCCCUGGUGGAGAAACUCCGUCAGACCCAGAGCAGCCAGGGGGACUGCCAGCAAAACACCUGUGGGUCCCAUACGGCCCCAUAUGGCCCCAUAUGGCCCUAUAUGACCCCAUAUAGAACAAAAUGGCCCCCAAUGGCCCUAUAGGGCCCCGUAUGGCCCUAUAUGGCCCUAUUUGGCCCUAUAUGCCCCCCUAUAGCUUCAUAUAGACCAAAAUGGCCCCCAAUGGCCCCAUAUGGCCCUAUACGGCCCUAUAUGACCCCAUAUAGAACAAAAUGGCCCCCAAUGGCCCCAUAUGGCCCCAUAUGGCCCUAUAUGGCCCUAUUUGGCCCUAUAUGCCCCCUAUAGCCUCAUAUAGACCAAAAUGGCCCCCAAUGGCCCCCAAUGGCCCCAUAUGGCCCUAUACGGCCCUAUAUGACCCCAUAUAGAACAAAAUGGCCCCCAAUGGCCCUAUAUGGCCCCAUAUGGCCCUAUAUGGCCCUAUAUAGCCCUAUAUGCCCCCAUAUAGCCCCAUAUGGAACAAAAUGGCCCCCAAUGGUCCCAUAUGGCCCCACAUAGCCCUAUAUGGCCCUAUAUGGCCCCAUAUAGCCCCCAAUGACCCCAUAUGGCCCCAUAUAGACCCAUAUCACCCCAUAAGACCCCCAGUGUCCCCAUAUGGCCCCCAUAUAGACCCAUAUUGCCCCAUAUGACCCCAUAUAGACCCAUAUCACCCCAUAUGACCCCCAGUGUCCCCAUAUGGCCCCCAUAUAGACCCAUAUUGCCCCAUAUGGCCCCAUAUGACCCCAUACAGUCCUAUACGGCCCCAUAUGGCCCCCCCCAACCCCGCUGACCCCAUAUGGUCCUAUACGG
rnacentral:lncRNA from 1 species